rnacentral:rRNA from 1 species
UACGAAGGGGGCUAGCGUUGUUCGGAAUCACUGGGCGUAAAGCGCGUGUAGGCUGCUGCGCAAGUCGGAUGUGAAAUCCCACGGCUCAACCAUGGAAGUGCAUUCGAAACUGCGUAGCUAGAGUUUUGGAGAGGAAGGCGGAAUACUCGGUGUAGAGGUGAAAUUCGUAGAUAUCGAGUGGAACACCGGUGGCGAAGGCGGCCUUCUGGACAAUGACUGACGCUGAAACGCGAAAGCGUGGGGAGCAAACAGG